AGUUAAGAUACAAAGGGCAUACGGUGGAUGCCUUGGCGAUAUCAGCCGACGAAGGACGCGAUCAGCUGCGAAAAGCUGCGGUGAGCCGCAAGUAGGCGUUGACCCGCAGAUAUCCGAAUGGAGCAAUCCGGCAGCAGCAGUGCUGUCAUCCCUAUUCGACCGAAUAGGGAAGGGAACCCGGUGAACUGAAACAUCUAAGUAGCCGGAGGAAAAGAAAUCAAACGAGAUACCCCAAGUAGCGGCGAGCGAACGGGGCAGACGCCCAAACCGAUAAAGGAAACUUUAACGGGGUAGAGGACCCGGCAACAAUGCCACGAAUUUAGCCGAAGAGUACUGGAACGUACCGCCGAAGACGGUGAAAGCCCGGUAGGCGAAAGAGGAGUGGCAGGGCCGGAAAUCCGGAGUACCGCGGGACACGAGAAACCCCGUGGGAAGCAGGGGGGACCACCCUCCAAGGCAAAACACUGAUAUCGACCGAUAGCGCAUAGUACCGUGAGGGAAAGGUGAAAAGCACCCCGGGAGGGGAGUGAAAGAGAACCUGAAACCGUAUGUUUACAAACAGUCGAAGCACGUUAUGAAUCGUGCGACGGCGUGCCUAUUGAAGAAUGAACCGGCGAGUUACUACUACUGGCAAGGUUAAGGAGGAAAUCCGGAGCCGCAGCGAAAGCGAGUCUGAACAGGGCGCAAGUCAGUAAGAGUAGACCCGAAACCACAGUGAUCUACCCAUGUCCAGAUUGAAACACAGGUAAAAUUGUGUGGAGGAUCGAACCUAUGAGUGUUGAAAAACUUUAGGAUGAGAUGUGGGUAGGGGUGAAAUUCCAAUCGAACGUGGAGAUAGCUGGUUCUCCCCGAAAUAUCUUUAGGGAUAGCCUUAAGGAGAGACUAUAGGCGGUAGAGCACUGAUCGGGCUAGGGACCAAACCGGUUACUGAACCCAGUCAAACUACGAAUGGCUAUAGUUAUACUUAGGAGUCAGACUACGAGUGAUAAGAUCCGUGGUCAAGAGGGAAACAGCCCAGACCAUCAGCUAAGGUCCCCAAUGCCGUGCUAAGUGGGAAAGGAUGUAGCAUUUCACAAACAACCAGGAUGUUGGCUUAGAAGCAGCCAUCAUUAAAAGAGUGCGUAAUAGCUCACUGGUCGAGAGACGCUGCGCCGAAAAUACCCGGGGCUCAAGCACGGAACCGAAGCUAUGGCAUGCGUAAGCAUGGGUAGGGGAGCGUUCUGCAUAGGUAGAAGCAUGACCGUAAGGACAUGUGGACAGUGCAGAAGUGAGAAUGCCGGUAUGAGUAUCGAAAAGAAUGGUGAGAAUCCAUUCCACCGAAAGCCUAAGGGUUCCUGAGCAACGAUCGUCGGCUCAGGGUAAGUCGGGACCUAAGCCGAGGCGAAGACGCAUAGGCGAUGGACAACAGGUUGAAAUUCCUGUACUGACGUUAUUUGUUUGAGCAAUGGAGUGACACAGGAAGGUACAGCAGCACGCGACUGGAAGAGCGUGUCUAAGCGCGUACGUUGGUAACGAGGCAAAUCCCGUUACCUGAAAGCGGAGGCGUGAUGGGGAGACAUUGGAAACAAUGGGGAACUGCUGGAUCCUCGACUGUCGAGAAAAGCUUCUAGUGAGAAUGAUGUCACCCGUACCAAAACCGACACAGGUAGGCGAGAAGAGAAUUCUAAGGUGCGCGGGAAAACCCUACGUUAAGGAACUCGGCAAAAUGCAUCCGUAACUUCGGGAAAAGGAUGACCUUCGGUACGUAACGACCAGCAACGGUCCGAGCGGAAGAAGGUGACACAAGAGAGGCCCAAGCGACUGUUUACCAAAAACACAGGUGCCUGCGAAAGCGAAAGCUGAAGUAUAGGUGCUGACGCCUGCCCGGUGCUGGAAGGUUAAGAGGAGAGGUUAGCGUAAGCGAAGCUUUGAAUUGAAGCCCCAGUAAACGGCGGCCGUAACUAUAACGGUCCUAAGGUAGCGAAAUUCCUUGUCGGGUAAGUUCCGACCCGCACGAAAGGCGUAACGAUUUGGGCACUGUCUCAACGAGGGACCCGGUGAAAUUGAAGUACCUGUGAAGAUGCAGGUUACCCGCGACUGGACAGAAAGACCCCAUGGAGCUUUACUGCAACUUGAGAUUGGAUCUCGGUGACAAAUGUACAGGAUAGGUGGGAGACUUAGAACUGAUGGCGCCAGCUGUCAGGGAGUCGAUGUUGGGAUACCACCCUUUUGUGACUGAGAUUCUAACGCCAAGCGUAACGAACUUGCGGACAUUCUCAGGCGGGCGGUUUGACUGGGGCGGUCGCCUCCGAAAGAGUAACGGAGGCGCCCAAAGGUUCCCUCAGCGCGGACGGAAAUCGCGCGAAGAGUGUAAAGGCAGAAGGGAGCUUGACUGCGAGACCCACAAGUCGAGCAGGGACGAAAGUCGGGCUUAGUGAUCCGGUGGUUCCGCGUGGAAGGGCCAUCGCUCAACGGAUAAAAGCUACCCUGGGGAUAACAGGCUAAUCUCUCCCAAGAGUCCAUAUCGACGGGGAGGUUUGGCACCUCGAUGUCGGCUCAUCACAUCCUGGGGCUGAAGUAGGUCCCAAGGGUUGGGCUGUUCGCCCAUUAAAGUGGUACGUGAGCUGGGUUCAGAACGUCGUGAGACAGUUCGGUCCCUAUCCAUCGCGGGCGCAAGAAACUUGAAGGGGGCUGCUCCUAGUACGAGAGGACCGGAGUGGACGGACCAAUGGUGUACCAGUUAUUCUGCCAAGAGUACAGCUGGGUAGCUACGUCCGGGACGGAUAAACGCUGAAAGCAUCUAAGCGUGAAACCAGCCUUGAGAUGAGGUUUCUCAUAACGUAAGUUAGUAAGACCCCUUGUAGACGACAAGGUAGAUAGGCCGGGAGUGGAAGUGCCGCAAGGCACGGAGCGGACCGGUACUAAUCGGUCGAGGGCUUAACUUA
rfam:Clostridiales bacterium S5-A11 contig095, whole genome shotgun sequence.